rnacentral:rRNA from 1 species
AGCGAACGCUGGCGGCAGGCCUAACACAUGCAAGUCGAACGAGGCUUACGGGGAGAGUGACGAACGGGUGAGUAACACGUGGGAACGUGCCUUUAGGUGGGGAAUAACUCAGGGAAACUUGUGCUAAUACCGAAUGUGCCCUUCGGGGGAAAGAUUUAUCGCCUUGAGAGCGGCCCGCGUCUGGUUAGCGAGUUGGUUGAGGCAAUGGCUCACCAAGGCGACGAUCAGUAGCUGGUCUGAGAGGAUGAUCAGCCACAGUGGGAAUGAGACACGGCCCAAACUCCUACGGGAGGCAGCAGCCGCGAAUCUUGCGCAAUGGGCGAACGCCUGCCCCAUCCAUGCCGCGUGAAUGAUGAAGGUCUUAUGAUUGUAAAACUCUUUCUCCGGGUACGCUAAUGAGGGUCCCCGGAGAAGAAGCCCCGGCUAACCUCGUG